UGCCAGCCGCCGCGGUAAUACGAAGGGUGCUAGCGUUGUUCGGAAUUACUGGGCGUAAAGAGCAUGUAGGCGGAUGAAUUAGUCAGAGGUGUAAUCCCGGAGCUCAACUUCAGAACUGCAUUCGAAACGGUCUUUCUUGAGGGUAGACGGAGAAGACGGAAUUCCACGUGUAGCGGUGAAAUGCGUAGAUAUGUGGAAGAACACCGGUGGCGAAGGCGGUCUUCUAGUUUAUUCCUGACGCUAAGGCGCGAAAGCAAGGGGAGCGAACAGGAUUAGAUA
rnacentral:rRNA from 1 species